ensembl:lncRNA
AUGGUGCCCAACGCAGCGUUUCAGACCUCAGGACAGAAGGUGAAUCCGCUUCAAGAAUGUCUAAGCUGGUGCAGAAAAUGGACCAAGGAGGUCCAUAGCACCUGGAGAAAGCUAUCCAUUAGCAUUCACAUUCAUCUCAAUGGCAGUUUCUCAGAAUGGAGCAAGAACAAGAAUGCACACAGUCCCACAAACAUCACUAGCGACUAUCCUGGGAUGUGACGUGAAAGGCAACAAUGUCCCUCACCAGUUUUCAGCUGCUAUGGGCCGUCCACAGGCCAUCAAUAUUGAUCACCUUGCUAUAUGAAAAAAUCCUAAAAUCCCCUUUUUCCUGAUGUAAAUGACUUGCACUAUUGAUUAAUUAAUUAUAGAUGUUGACAUCAGCAGCAUUAACAUUAGAAAAAUGAAAGAUGUCGAAUUUAUUCAAGUGAAUUAAUUAUUCAUUUCAUUCAUGUAUGCAUAUUUAUAUAUUCAUUCAUGUAUUAAUUUAUGCAGAUUUUUGGAAGUUGAAAAAUGCCAUAGUCUUCAGUAGACAUAUGACUUCACAUUAUACUAACAGCUCAGCCUGUCCUGCCUAGAAGGAGGUGAUUCACAACUUUUAUUGCACCAAUACUGCCUACUCAUCUACACUAUCCCUGAGCAGCCUGCGCUCUCCUGCGUCAUACAACAGUGUCCUCCCUGGGACCUUUAACUUCAGAUGACCCCUGAGGGGUGGAGCUCUUCAUUUCCUGCCCUGCUGGUGACUCACACCCAUCAAAGAAGGUGUUUAUCAGUCUGACCUUUCAUGACCUCUCCUGUUUCCUGCUGAUGACUGAUUGACCCCUGUGGGUGACCUCUUGUUGAUUUUUAUCUGCUUUUAACACAUAUCCAGUUUAUGCCUCAAUGCAUCUUGUCAGAAGUGUCAUGUUUGUUCAUGAUCCAAGCUUGUUCAUACUCAUUCUUGAUUCUUAAAGGCAGGAUUUUUAGGUCAAUUGGGAUAGUUUUUGCCAUUGAAAUGACUGGAAAUAUAUNAAUAUAUAUGUAUAUGUAUACCCACAAAAUAGAUAUAUUCUUGCCUAAAUGAGAUGAAACGGCCAAAAAAUAGAUGCACAAUGAUGUCACUGCCUCUAGCAACUCAUAAAUGUGUCAUCUCGUCAUGACAGAGUAUAAUAAUGUUUGUGUAAUGCAUGUACAUUUUAAUUGCAAAUAGAUUUCCUUUUACAUGUGACAAAUCCAUGGGAAUUCUAAAUAAGAAUAUG